AAAUGUGUAGAGAUCUGCUUUUGUUCCCUACACUCACCCACUCAACAUUAACCUCAUACCAACCUCCCACUGCACGAGAGGGCCACAGGAAGCCCGGACAACACAGAAGAGCUAAAGGAAGCGAUAGGCUCCAGCUUGGGCCACAGGGUGGCCCCACAGCCUAUCCAGUGUACCCUAAGCAGCCAAUCACCAAGGAAACAAAGGCACUGUUCCAUGCUCUAUGGACACAGCAGUGAAGAAAAUAGACAAACCCUCUGCUCUGGUAAAGCUUCAUGAAGGAGAACAAUGGUAAACAGUAGGUGGAAGUUACGCUGUGCCAUACAGUGCAGAGAGAGUAUUGCAGCUGGUAAGCCUGUACAGCACACUAACAGUGAGUCUGAAUUGAGCACACCCCUUCCCGUGACUGCUCAGAAGUUCUGACAUCUGAGACCACAGUGGGAAGCUUGGUGAGAAUUCUACCCAUCCAUCUGCUUGGCCCUUUGCAGGUAUCGAGUUAGGGGUAUGGCAGGCCCUUCUCUCAUCCCGGUGGCACUCUGUGUACCAGAAGUGCCAAGCACCUCCUCUGCAUCUGGCACUGCCCCAUUUUCUCUGGUAGUGAAGCCUUUCCCUGGUUUUAUAGCCCUAGGUCAUUUCAGUAGGAGUUUAUGAGGCAGAAGAAUUAAACAAAUUCAUCUUGUCAUCUCUAAACUGAGUUCAAACAAACAUGGUAACUGGUAAUCAAGAGCGGUAGCCCCUAAGCCCUUGUGUUACUUUCCAUAAUUCCAGUUACCUGAAAAGAUAAAGGAAAACAUUCCAGAAAUAAAUAAUUCAUUAAUGUUAUUAUAAUAUUAUGCCAUAUUAUAUAUAUUAUUAGUUAUUAUUGCUAAUUUCAGUGAGCAUAACUUUAAAUCAAACUUCGUCACACUCAUACAUAAGAGAAAACAGAGUAGAUAAUAGAGUUUAGUACUAACCGCCAUUUCAGGCAUUUAUGGGUGUCUUGGGACACAUCCCCUGGGGAACAGGAACUAUUGUAGACAGCUAUGUUGCCUUGGGGACAUUGAGAAGCUGGAGUUUGUCUGAGGACAGAUCUGUCAAUAAAGAAUGUGUUGACGAAGGGUUCCAAAUCUCUGC